rnacentral:rRNA from 1 species
AACGAACGCUGGCGGCAGGCCUAACACAUGCAAGUCGAACGCCGUAGCGAUACGGAGUGGCAGACGGGUGAGUAACGCGUGGGAACAUACCCCUCGGUUCGGAAUAACUCAGGGAAACUUGAGCUAAUACCGGAUACGUCCAAGGUUUUAAUCGACCUUGGAGAAAGAUUUAUCGCCGGAGGAUUGGCCCGCGUCUGAUUAGCUUGUUGGUGAGGUAAUGGCUCACCAAGGCGACGAUCAGUAGCUGGUCUGAGAGGAUGAUCAGCCACAUUGGGACUGAGACACGGCCCAAACUCCUACGGGAGGCAGCAGUGGGGAAUAUUGGACAAUGGGCGAAAGCCUGAUCCAGCGAUGCCGCGUGUGUGAAGAAGGCCUGCGGGUUGUAAAGCACUUUCAGUAGGGAAGAAAUGCUUGGAGCUAACACCGCCAAGUUUUGACGUUACCUACAGAAGAAGCACCGGCUAACU